AACACAAUAAUAAAAUACUUUUAUAGUUGAUAUAAAUUUCAUAAUAAAAGUUUAAAAUAUAAAAAUAAUUAUAUAAUGCACUGUAUGUAACUAGUUCAAAGUUUAAAGUUUGUUUAGUAUAAAGGACAGUCAAGUGCAGUUUGACGUGUGAACAGCCAGAAAUUUUAAAAAUACUUAAACGUAAUCAAGUAAAAUGUGUAUUAAAGGAUGCAUUUUAUACAAAAUCGAAUUAACAGAAGUUGGCCCAUUAAAAUGCGUUUUUGAAAGCUACCCUGAUGAUGAAGAGCCAACGGGAGACGACCAAGAAAUAACUAUUUGAGAAUUAAAUAUUUAAAGAAAUAUCAAUUUUAAUAGUGAAGGAUAUUCAAGAUCACUUUAACCUUAGCAAUUCUUAAAACUCAAGUCAGCUGAAGAGAACAACCUGUACAAAAUAGUGGAAAAAAUAAAUAAGAUAUUAACGGAGUAUUGACCUUUAAAAAUGUGCAUCAAAGACGAGAAAAUUUCCGACAACGCUACGUUACCUAAUUUUUAUCCAGUUAUUUGUCAAAGUUAUCCAGAUGAUGAAGAACCAACCGGUGACGAUGAAGAAAUCACAAUCUAAUCACUAAAAAUAUAUAAAUUAUUUAUACAAUUUAUAUUGUACAUAACUAAAUUUUAUAACUAAAUUAUUGAAUAAUAUUGAAAAAGAUUAUUUCUAUCAGUGUCAUGCUUA
rnacentral:lncRNA from 1 species